rnacentral:rRNA from 1 species
UACAUAGGGUGCAAGCGUUGUCCGGAAUUAUUGGGCGUAAAGAGCUCGUAGGUGGCUAAGUAAGUCAGGCGUGCAAGCCCGUGGCUCAACCACGGAAUUGCGUUUGAAACUACUUGGCUUGAGUGCAGGAGAGGAAAGCGGAAUUCCCAGUGUAGCGGUGAAAUGCAUUGAUAUUGGGAAGAACACCUGUGGCGAAGGCGGCUUUCUGGUCUGUUACUGACGCUGAGAUACGAAAGCCAGGGGAGCAAAGGGG